rnacentral:rRNA from 1 species
UGGGGAAUAUUGCGCAAUGGGCGAAAGCCUGACGCAGCGACGCCGCGUGUGGGAUGACGGCCUUCGGGUUGUAAACCACUGUCGGGAGGGACGAAUGCCCCGCAAGGGGAGUGACGGUACCUCCAAAGGAAGCACCGGCUAACUCCGUGCCAGCAGCCGCGGUAAUACGGAGGGUGCGAGCGUUGUCCGGAAUCACUGGGCGUAAAGGGCGCGUAGGCGGCCUGAUAAGUAGGGGGUGAAAUCCUGCGGCUUAACCGCAGGGCUGCCUUCUAAACUGUCGGGCUCGAGCACGGUAGAGGCAGAUGGAAUUCCCGGUGUAGCGGUGGAAUGCGUAGAGAUCGGGAAGAACAUCAGUGGCGAAGGCGGUCUGCUGGGCCGUUGCUGACGCUGAGGCGCGACAGCGUGGGGAGCAAACAG